rnacentral:rRNA from 1 species
GAUGAACGCUAGCGGCAGGCUUAACACAUGCAAGUCGAGGGGUAUGCUUCUUCGGAAGCAGAGACCGGCGCACGGGUGCGUAACGCGUAUGCAAUCUACCUUUUACAGAGGGAUAGCCCAGAGAAAUUUGGAUUAAUACCUCAUAGUAUUAUAGGAUGGCAUCAUUUAUAAUUAAAGUCACAACGGUAAAGAUGAGCAUGCGUCCCAUUAGCUAGUUGGAAGGUAACGGCUUACCAAGGCUACGAUGGGUAGGGGUCCUGAGAGGGAGAUCCCCCACACUGGUAC